rnacentral:rRNA from 1 species
GAGAACUGAAACAUCUCAGUACCCCGAGGAAAAGAAAUCAACCGAGAUUCCCCUAGUAGCGGCGAGCGAACGGGGGAACAGCCCAGAGUCUUAAUCAAUGGCAGCAUCAGGAGAACGGUCUGGAAAGUCCGGCAGUAAAGGGUGAUAGCCCCGUAUCCGAAGAUGCUGUUAUUGUGAACUCGACGAGUAGGGCGGGACACGUGUUAUCCUGUCUGAAUAUGGGGGGGACCAUCCUCCAAGGCUAAAUACUCCUGAUUGACCGAUAGUGAACCAGUACCGUGAG